rnacentral:rRNA from 1 species
GUGGGGAAUCUUAGACAAUGGGCGCAAGCCUGAUCUAGCCAUGCCGCGUGAGUGAUGAAGGCCCUAGGGUUGUAAAGCUCUUUCAGCUGGGAAGAUAAUGACGGUACCAGCAGAAGAAGCCCCGGCUAACUCCGUGCCAGCAGCCGCGGUAAUACGGAGGGGGCUAGCGUUGUUCGGAAUUACUGGGCGUAAAGCGCGCGUAGGCGGACUGAAAAGUUGGGGGUGAAAUCCCGGGGCUCAACCUCGGAACUGCCUUCAAAACUAUCAGUCUGGAGUUCGAGAGAGGUGAGUGGAAUUCCGAGUGUAGAGGUGAAAUUCGUAGAUAUUCGGAGGAACACCAGUGGCGAAGGCGGCUCACUGGCUCGAUACUGACGCUGAGGUGCGAAAGCGUGGGGAGCAAACAGGAUUAGAUACCCGAGUAGUCC